UGAACGCUGGCGGCGUGCCUAAUACAUGCAAGUCGAGCGAACAGACGAGGAGCUUGCUCCUCUGACGUUAGCGGCGGACGGGUGAGUAACACGUGGAUAACCUACCUAUAAGACUGGGAUAACUUCGGGAAACCGGAGCUAAUACCGGAUAAUAUAUUGAACCGCAUGGUUCAAUAGUGAAAGACGGUUUUGCUGUCACUUAUAGAUGGAUCCGCGCCGCAUUAGCUAGUUGGUAAGGAAACGGCUUACCAAGGCAACGAUGCGUAGCCGACCUGAGAGGGUGAUCGGCCACACUGGAACUGAGACACGGUCCAGACUCCUACGGGAGGCAGCAGUAGGGAAUCUUCCGCAAUGGGCGAAAGCCUGACGGAGCAACGCCGCGUGAGUGAUGAAGGUCUUCGGAUCGUAAAACUCUGUUAUUAGGGAAGAACAAAUGUGUAAGUAACUAUGCACGUCUUGACGGUACCUAAUCAGAAAGCCACGGCUAACUACGUG
rnacentral:rRNA from 1 species